CCUACGGGAGGCAGCAGUGAGGAAUAUUGGACAAUGGGCGCAAGCCUGAUCCAGCCAUGCCGCGUGCAGGAAGACGGUCCUAUGGAUUGUAAACUGCUUUUAUACAGGAAGAAACACCUCUACGUGUAGAGACUUGACGGUACUGUAUGAAUAAGCAUCGGCUAACUCCGUGCCAGCAGCCGCGGUAAUACGGAGGAUGCAAGCGUUAUCCGGAAUCAUUGGGUUUAAAGGGUCCGUAGGCGGUUUAAUAAGUCAGUGGUGAAAGCCCAUCGCUCAACGAUGGAACGGCCAUUGAUACUGUUAAACUUGAAUUAUUAGGAAGUAACUAGAAUAUGUAGUGUAGCGGUGAAAUGCUUAGAGAUUACAUGGAAUACCAAUUGCGAAGGCAGGUUACUACUAAUAUAUUGACGCUGAUGGACGAAAGCGUGGGGAGCGAACAGGAUUAGAUACCCUGGUAGUCCACGCCGUAAACGAUGGAUACUAGCUGUUCGGAGCAAUCUGNGUGNGUAGAGAAGAGAGUAAGUAUACCACCGUCGGGAGGUACGGUUCGUCGAAGAAGUAGAAACGUUAAAAGGUAAAGUUAGUACGGACGUAGAGACGUAGACCGACGGACGACGACGAGGGGAGGAGGG
rnacentral:rRNA from 1 species